rnacentral:lncRNA from 1 species
AAGAUUUUAUGCAAUUAGAGAUGGAUUCCUGCACAGAAAUUCUAAUUUUUAAAAUUCUGACUUUAUCUUAGGUGUGAAGCUUCAUCUUAUAAGGAAUCUGUCUGAUGAGUUAAGCAGCUGAUA